ensembl:lncRNA
CAUGGAGGAACGCAGCGGCCGAGAUGGAGCAUAAUCCUGUAUGAUUGAGUUCAAAUCGAUGGGUGCAGACCCAGAAGUCAGUCUGCAGUCAAGCAUUGGUGACUUGAAUUGGAUUCAGGUGGCCGUGGCCAGCGGUGGUCAGCAGGGGCUGUAGUGACGUGACGAGACGGAACCGUACGCGCUGCCGCAUGCUGCGAGACCCGCUAGGAGGGCAUUGCAGUAGACAAGGCGGGAGAUAACCAUGGUCUGCACUGAGAGUUGGCUUGAUUUGUCUCAUGUUGUAUAGAGACACGACCGGAAGAAAACAUGCAACAUCGUCAGACAAGGAUAGCUGAUCAUAGCGCAACCUUGGUUGGGGUCAUGGCCAUCAGUUUGGUUUGAUAAAUGCCAGAGACAGACAUGGGUGUAGUUUGAUUUAAUAAGUGCUGUGGACAUAGAUGGAAUUUUCCAGGUUCCUACCGGUGGUCACUGGGCUAUUGCAUGCCUGCCUCUGUUAUGAGGCGUUUCCAAAUACAAAUACCUGUGAAUAUUUCAUGCCCACCUAAAAAUCAAACUCCAAACAUUUGGUUUUAGGAUUUACACACACAAAGAAGAUAUGAUUCCCUUUUUUAUUAAAGAGUCACAUCGACAAGUCAUAUCAUAGCAGUCAAAAGUUAGACAGUUCAAAUUCUCUUGUAUAAAUGACUCUUUCAAUACAUUAGAAAACAAAACUCAGGGUAAAAAUAUAAAACAAAAAAAAAGGAGAGACAAAAAGAAAAACCAAACAAACAUCUAUUUUAGCGGCGUAGCCAGGUGAGCCCUCAGAGAGACACAGUGUCCCCCAGUGGCUGGAGGAGUGUCUCUCGUCUUCAGCUCGCCAUCUAAGAGCCCAGUAAUGCAGACAACAGAGAGAGUGAGUGUGUGUGUGUGGGGUGGACUCGCUCACAGCCUGUCAGCGGCCGAAUGCAACACGAAUACUCUUGAGGUAAAUCAUAAGGGGAGGAGAAAGAAAAGCAAAAACAUUCAAAUGACAGGCCCUUCACAUGUUUGCACUUUCAGGACCACACGUCACAUUAGUUUCUUUACAGUUCAAAGAAAUGAUUCAUUAAACGGCUCCAGUGAGAUCCACUCACAAAAAAAAAAAAAAAAAAAACUUCACCUUUUCUUUUUUUAAACUGGAUGAAGGACAUUAAAUCACUGCUUAUAGAUGGUGUAGAUUAAUAUUAAUAUAAAUCUUAAAUCUUGAGACCUGAGAUGGGACCUGAAUCUGAACCAGGUCUGGGUGGGUUCAGAGUCCGGUUCUAUCUAGGAUGGGAGAACUGACAGGAACCUGAGUACAGACAGAGAUACUCUGAUCCGAGCCGAGGAAACUUGGGAUCCCCCAGCCUAUAAACCAUCUCAUGACUGCAGGGGAGAACUGUGUGUGUGUAUGCGUGUGUGUGUGUGGUGGUCUUACUGAGACACAC